ACGAACGCUGGCGGCGUGCUUCACCCAUGCCAGUCGCACGGAAAGGCCUCUUUCGGGGGGUACUCGAGUGGCGAACGGGUGAGUAACACGUGAGUAACCUGCCCUUGACUUUGGGAUAACUUCAGGAAACUGGGGCUAAUACCGGAUAGGAGCUCCUGCUGCAUGGUGGGGGUUGGAAAGUUUCGGCGGUUGGGGAUGGACUCGCGGCUUAUCAGCUUGUUGGUGGGGUAGUGGCUUACCAAGGCUUUGACGGGUAGCCGGCCUGAGAGGGUGACCGGCCACAUUGGGACUGAGAUACGGCCCAGACUCCUACGGGAGGCAGCAGUGGGGAAUAUUGCACAAUGGGUGGAAGCCUGAUGCAGCAACGCCGUGUGCGGGAUGACGGCCUUCGGGUUGUAAACCGCUUUCGCUCAUGACGAAGCUUUGUGUGACGGUAGUGGGUAAAGAAGCACCGGCUAACUACGUG
rnacentral:rRNA from 1 species